CCACGGAGCACAAGCAGCUUUGCUUUUCCAUGAUCAAGCUGCUAGAGAUUUUGGGGUGAGGGAGCGAAAUGAAGGCUAAAUAAAAGAACCGGAGAUAAGAUAAUCCUGCCAUGUUAAAAGAUAUGGUGUAAUAAAGAUGCCAACCUGAUUGAUCAGGAGACUGGGGUCCUAGAGUGCCGGAGUUCAACAGCUCUGCUCCUUGUUGGGACACAGUGGCUGUGGCAACGCUCUGGUCUUUGUGGAGAGAGGAGCCUGGUGUCAGCAAAGGCAGCAGGGGGAAAUCUGAACAAAGACAGACGGAGAGGAUGCUGUGCGACAAUGGAAGCAGAGAUUGGAGUGAUACACCUACAAACAAAGGAAUCCGAAAGACUGCUGGCAAUUGCCAGAGACUAGGACAGAGGGAUGGUACAGAUUCUCCCUCAGUGCCUCCAGAAGGAACCAAUCCUGCCGAAACCUUGAUUUUGGACUUUCAGCUUCCAGAAACAGAAUUUUGAAAUUGCCUGGUGGACUAGAAAUGAAGCAAAACACAGAAAAACCUGAGAUGAAAGAUGGAGAGUGCUUAAGGGGAACUAGUACUGGCUUCCAUGCCCAGCUGCAUCACUGCCCCUUGAGCUUCCCGUGACAUCCCAAAAAACUUGCGAUUGAAGCUCCCGCUGUGCUUUAAUUCACUCCAGUUGAUGUGGUGAACAGAAAUGAGUCCAAAUGACACUAGUCCCACCCCACAACUUUCGCAACUUUACUGCUAAAAAUUAACUCAAGUGCCUUUUGGCAAAUGGAAUAUACACUGCUGAUUCUGAUAUUGUAAUCUUUAGUGACCUAUGACAUGGUUCCAUCACCGAGCUGAGGAGAAACAAACAAAACAAAAAACCCUACAUCCAUUUUUUGGUUGUUGUUGGAUACCAGAAAAGUCUCAUACAUCCUCCUUACAAUUUUUUAAAUUCCAGGUUAAACAGCUAUUACUGUUUACUUGUGAGAGUAUCAGUUAGGACUCUUUUAUGUCAAAAGUUAAUAGAAAAUCCAACUUGAGCUAGUUCACCUAAAUGGAAUGCUCACAUUAUUGGAAACCACAGAGGUAGGGCAGGCUUCAGGAAUGAUUGAUUCGGCAGCUCAAAGCUGUCAUCAAUGACCCAAUUUCUUUGUUUCUCCCUUUCUGCCAUCUGGUGUCAGCUCUGUCCUCAUGGUCACAGGACGGGUGCCAGCUACAAACAGAGUGCAGCCCAGUCUAGCAUCCCAAACAAGAGUCAUAAAAGUCACUCAAUUGGCCCAGCAUAGGUCAGAUUCCCAUUCCUAAAAGAAUAAUGUGGCUAAAUAAAUGAAAUGCACUAAUUGACCUAUCAAUCAAAGCCCACUCCAGGGGCUAGAGUGUGAUCCAUUUUACUAGACACACAUAGGCUGCACUGGCCAGGGGAGAUACCCAAACAAAGAUCAGAUAAUUUUUGGAGGAGAAACAUGUGGCAAACUAUGCUAGGUAGACAACUAAUAAAUGUCUACCACACUUGGUUCUUCCAUGUGUUACUAGAAAAUAACUUUAAAAUUCCACUUUAUUUUGUAACCAUUACAGUAAUAAUUAGUUCAGGCAAGAAUCAUCAUGCUAAACUGGUGAAUGAGAGCUUAAUGAGGAAGAAGAUAUUUAUAAAGUCUCAAAUUAUAUCCCCACAAAUGACUCAACUAAUAUUAAAGUAAAAACAUAGUAACUUUACUAUGAGAAAACCUGGUAGAGACCACCUUAACCAAGUGAUUGAAGUUAACAUCAGCUGUAAACAUCAUAAGCCUCCUGAUAAACUGCACUGAGAAGGACACAACAUCACUUUAUAGUACAUUUCACCAAAGAUGCAUAACAUGAAUCUAAUCCUAAGAAAACAUCAGACAAACUCAAUUAAGGGGCAUUCUACAAAAUAACUGACCUGUACUUUUCAGCAGUGUCACUGAUGUGAAAGACACAGAAAGGCUGAGGAAACAUUACAAAUUAAUGGAGACAAGUGAAAACUAAAGGUAGUGUGUAAUUCUGGAUCAAAAACAUAAUUGCUAUGAAGGACAGUAUGUCUAUAUCAUAGAUAGUAGUACUGCAUCAAUGUUAAAUGGUUUUGAAAAUUGUACUGUGGUCAUGUAGUGAACGUCUUUGUCCUUAGUAAAUAUACACUGAAGUGUUUAAUAAAGGAGUAUGAAGUGUGCAACAUACUCUCAAAUAGCUUGAGGAAAAAAAUGUGUAUACACACACACACACAAUCACACACAUACAGAAAAACUGUAAAGGCAAAUGUGGCAAAAUGUUAAUAAUUGGUGAAUAUGCGUGAAAGGUAUAUGGUAGUUCUUUGUACUAUUUUUGUAACUUUUCUUUAAGUUUGAAAUUACUUCAAAAUAAAAAGUUUUUUAAAAAAUUAACUUUAGAUUGCAUGACCCUAUAACUUGUCUCAAACCAUAAGUGUUAUUUUACACUGCAUGCCACUUAAGUUUUGUAAGAGCGAAAAAGCUGAAAACAAAUAAUCAAGUUUUAACUUAUUUAUGUAUAGAAC
rnacentral:lncRNA from 10 species